rnacentral:rRNA from 1 species
AUUGAACGCUGGCGGCAUGCCUUACACAUGCAAGUCGAACGGCAGCGCGGACUUCGGUCUGGCGGCGAGUGGCGAACGGGUGAGUAAUACAUCGGAACGUACCCUGUUGUGGGGGAUAACUGGUCGAAAGAUUAGCUAAUACCGCAUACGACCUGAGGGUGAAAGUGGGGGACCGCAAGGCCUCACGCAGCAGGAGCGGCCGAUGUCUGAUUAGCUAGUUGGUGGGGUAAAGGCCCACCAAGGCGACGAUCAGUAGCUGGUCUGAGAGGACGAUCAGCCUCACUGGGACUGGAACCCGGCACAGACUCCUACGGGAGGAAGCAAUUGGGAAUUUGGGACAAUGGGGGCAACCCUGAUCCAGCAAUGCCGCUUGUGUGAAGAAGACCUUCGGGUUGUAAAGCACUUUUGUCCGGAAAGAAAUCGCGCUGGUUAAUACCUGGCGUGGAUGACGGUACCGGAAGAAUAAGCACCGGCUAACUACGUGCCAGCCGCCGCAGUAA